ACGUUGUGCAUGGCUAGCUGCUGAAUUUAAUUUCUCGAAUUACUUACUUUGCCUAACAUCAUGGGCAUUCACAAUUCCUGCACGACUACUGCUACCCACUUUGGUUUCUUCACCAAGUUUUUUUAAGAUGGAAUAUGAAUUGCACAACUUAAUACUUACUCAUCUUUUAAUUAAUUAUUUUGGUCUAUUUCUGAUCCAAUCACACCUACUUUUUUAGUUAUGACUUACGAGCCAUUCAACUCCAUUUUAUUUGUUUUACAGAUCUAUCUUCCCUUUGCGUUAUAUCCCAAUCCAUCUCUCACACCCUCCGGCAUAGAGAGACGGACUUUGAGGAAGCUAGCAUGGAGUGCUACAGCUACCGAAGGAGGAGAUCUUCGUCUAGUUCGAGAGGAUGCCCUUACAGUAGAAUAGACAAUUUCGUAACGGAUGAGGACGAGGAAGAGGAAAAUGAGAAGAUUGCAGUAGUGUUGGGACAGAGACAGAGCAGUGAUCUCAACUUCGAGAACGCAAAGAGGAGAGGGAUACCAUUACCAAAACUGCAACGAGCGAUAAUGUCGUCAAUCGUGCUUCUGAAAAGGUAUAGAGAUGCUUAUGUGGGAGUAAUGCAUAGCCUUGCUGAACAUGUUGCGCAGUUGAACAAUGGAAAUUCCUACUUUUUUAAGAAGCUUCCAAAUGUUCCAUAGUUCUCAGCUCCGAAGUCGUUAAACGUUCUCCUUCAUCAAAAUAAUUAAGGACAACUUUUAAUUUGUGUGAUAAAAUUGACCGCACAUACCUCUGCAUAUAUAAUAUCUAAAACCAUGGAAAGAGGAAGUAAGAGAAUAUUUGGAGUAGGAGAAGCAAAUGGGUGACUCUAGUUCUUGUAGUUCUUCUUGUUGUAGCUACCAUGUUCACUCUGCAGCAAGGUUUGCUCACAGCAGCAGAUCACCAUGAUCUGAAUAUAGCAAGGGAACUGAGAGAAAGGCGGUCACCACCUCCUUUGCGUCCAAAAUAAUCACCACUUGCAAACCAACAGCCGGGCAUGAGAGUACCUGCUCCCGAUCCUCCUGUUGAACAACCGCCUCCGGCUGGCCCUCCUCCUCCUCCCCAGCUUCCAAUCCUAAACAACAAUAAUCUGGCCUGAACUUCUUCACAACAUUAUCUGCUAAUUGCUAUGCUUCAAGCGCCAAAUGCAGCUAUUAUGUAGUGAUUAAGCUUAGUUGCUUUGUUCAUUAAAGAUUAAUAGAUAUGCUUAAUUUACAACAAUUAAGAAGUUGAGAAUUUGCACUUUUUUUUAUUUCCCUUUGCAAGUUGGAAUAAAGGGGUAAGACUGCCACGUAUUGUAGGUUUUCUGUUUUAUUUGCUUUUAUUAGUAAAUGCAGUUUCCUUGCUGA